CCGGACGAAACGCCGCCCGACGGUGUCACCCGCAGGAAUACGCCGACCGACGGUGAUCAUCCGGUAAGUUUUCCCCUUUUUUUUUAAGAGUGGGAGGGAGACCAUGGCCGGCGGCUACGCCGGAUCCUCUGAAGGCUCACGGUGCCAUAUGCCGGCCAGAUCUGGCGUCAGCAGGUUCAAACCCUUGGUGGGGUUGGUUCUCAAAUCCUUUGAUCCGGCAUUGGGGUUACUUGGAAUCAUCAAAAACCCAUCCAGGGACAAUGCAAUGGUCGGCUCUCGGCGCAAUAUCCCGGCGUCCCAGUGACGGCCGGUCAAGAUGGCGAUGAUGAGAUCGCCUCUAUGGUGCCAAAACGACCAUUGCCUUGUCCACUGUGAUCUAUCCUUUCACUGUGAUCUGGUUCUAGGAUGAACCAGGCUCUGAUACCACAUGUUAAAAGCAUCUGUAAAUAGGAUCAUAAUAGAACCAAGGAAGCAUACCUGGAUCCAUGAGUAAUCUGCACAAAUAAAUCCUUGUUUCUCCCUCUUGACCCUGCGUUAAUGACACCCCCGAUGGCUGGUU
rnacentral:lncRNA from 1 species